CAACAGGGUAGAAGGGCAGAACAAGCAAGAAUAUUGGUGUAUGCUUGCUGUUUUUUGAGAAUGGAUUCUUGGUCCUGAACUGUACCUGUGACAUCUCUGAGUAUUGCCAAGUCCUGGGCCAAUUUGUAUACAGGCCUCUGGCCAAGUGUGUCACCUCUUCUGCAUUUCACCUGCAUCGUCAAAUGUGGAGGACUGGAGGCAGUGAGAGACUGAUGCAAACUCUGGAGAGAAACUGAGACUCCUAAAAGUACUGUUUACCACAAUGAACACACUUUUAUCAUGUCAGCAACUUCCAUCUCUACAUUGCCCUGCGUUAAGAAUAUACUGGGAGCUGAUAUAACCUCAGUGAUGGUAAAACAGGAUAUAGAAUCCAGAAAACAUUCCUGAAAUGGACCAAACAUCAAUACUCUGAAACAGAAGUGGAAAUGAAACCGAAACAGA